AAAUUGAAGAGUUUGAUCAUGGCUCAGAUUGAACGCUGGCGGCAGGCCUAACACAUGCAAGUCGAACGGUAACAGGAAGCAGCUUGCUGCUUCGCUGACGAGUGGCGGACGGGUGAGUAAUGUCUGGGAAACUGCCUGAUGGAGGGGGAUAACUACUGGAAACGGUAGCUAAUACCGCAUAAUGUCGCAAGACCAAAGAGGGGGACCUUCGGGCCUCUUGUCAUCGGAUGUGCCCAGAUGGGAUUAGCUUGUUGGUGGGGUAACGGCUCACC
rnacentral:rRNA from 1 species